rnacentral:rRNA from 1 species
CCUACGGGGGGCAGCAGUCGAGAAUCAUUCACAAUGGGGGAAACCCUGAUGGUGCGACGCCGCGUGGGGGAAUGAAGGUCUUCGGAUUGUAAACCCCUGUCAUGUGGGAGCAAAUUAAAAAGAUAGUACCACAAGAGGAAGAGACGGCUAACUCUGUGCCAGCAGCCGCGGUAAUACAGAGGUCUCAAGCGUUGUUCGGAAUCACUGGGCGUAAGGCGUGCGUAGGCUGUUUCGUAAGUCGUGUGUGAAAGGCGCGGGCUCAACCCGCGGACGGCACAUGAUACUGCGGGACUAGAGUAAUGGAGGGGGAACCGGAAUUCUCGGUGUAGCAGUGAAAUGCGUAGAUAUCGAGAGGAACACUCGUGGCGAAGGCAGGUUCCUGGACAUUAACUGACGCUGAGGCACGAAGGCCAGGGGAGCGAAAGGGAUUAGAUACCCCUGUAGUC